AUAUGAAGGCAAAAAAAAGUUAUUCAAACAUUCAUAUUGUUUUAAAAAGUUAAUCAGAUACAUCGACUGUCUGACCAGAUGGUUGGAGGCUGAGAAAGAUGAUUGAUCAUCCAACAAUCUUCCAAUGCAGUGUUCAUAUUGAAAACCAUACCAGGCAAUGUGAGAAUUUACCUUCUUGCCUUCGGAGUUGCUGCUGACAACUGGCCAGGAUGCCACAGAUGAGGAGCUAGAGCCUUCAAUAAGCAGCUGCCAAGAAGCCUGAGCUGUGCAUCUCUUUUCCUUGUUCUCCCUAAACAACUUACAGAGCCCUUCAAGCGCUGAGCUAUACCGUGAGUUCAUCAUCUGUAAA